rnacentral:rRNA from 1 species
CCUACGGGCGUCAGCAGUGAGGAAUAUUGGUCAAUGGACGAGAGUCUGAACCAGCCAAGUAGCGUGAAGGAUGACUGCCCGAUGGGUUGUACACUUCUUUUAUAAAGGAAUAAAACGAGGCACGUGUGCCUUUUUGCAUGUACUUUAUGAAUAAGGAUCGGCUAACGCCGUGCCAGCAGCCGCGGUAAUACGGAGGAUCCGAGCGUUAUCCGGAUUGAUUGGGUGUAAAGGGUGCGGAGGCGGAAUGUCAAGUCAGCGGUAAAAAUUCGGGGCUCAACCCCGUCGUGCCGGUUAGACGGAUGUUCUUGAGUGGGCGAGAAGUAUGCGGAAUGCGUGGUGUAGCGGUGAAAUGCAUAGAUAUCACGCAGAACUCCGAUUGCGAAGGCAGCAUACCGGCGCCCAACUGACGCUGAAUCACGAAAGCGUGGGUAUCGAACAGGAUUAGAUACCCCUGUAGUC